rnacentral:rRNA from 1 species
UACGUAGGGUGCGAGCGUUGUCCGGAAUUACUGGGCGUAAAGAGCUCGUAGGUGGUUUGUCGCGUUGUCCGUGAAAACUCACAACUCAAUUGUGGGCGUGCGGGCGAUACGGGCAGACUGGAGUACUGCAGGGGAGACUGGAAUUCCUGGUGUAGCGGUGGAAUGCGCAGAUAUCAGGAGGAACACCGGUGGCGAAGGCGGGUCUCUGGGCAGUAGCUGACACUGAGGCGCGACAGCGUGGGGGAGCAAACAGGG